AUUGGAUAUGGCAAUUGUGGAGGCCCUACAGGCUGCUGCUGCUGCUGUUGUGUUGGAUAAGCUGCUAUUGACAUUAUUGAAAAGUACUUGGUAUUCCCGGAGAUUCGUCCGGACUUUCGAGGCUGAUUCCCAUUCUACGUAAGAAACAAUGCCAAAUAUUUGAGGCAAUCACAACUGAAGACAUGCAAGGGGUGAUGAUGUAGUGUAAUUCUAUAAAUCGCGAAUUGCCAGACGUACAAGAGGAAGACAGAAGUUAAGAUUAAGGCAAGAGAGGGGGCAUCAGGGUAUUGUAAUUUCACACUUCAUAUUCAAUCCGAGGUAGGCAUGUACUUGAGA